rnacentral:rRNA from 1 species
UACGAAAGGGGCUAGCUUUGUUCGGAAUUACUGGGCGUAAAGCGCACGUAGGCGGCUUGGUAAGUUGGGGGUGAAAUCCCGGAGCUAAACUCCGGAACUGCCUUCAAAACUGCUAGGCUAGAGGAUGCGAGAGGUUGGCGGAAUUCCGAGUGUAGAGGUGCAAUUCGUAGAUAUUCGGACGAACACCAGUGGCGAAGGCGGUCAACGGGAGCAUUUCUGACGCUGAGGUGCGAAAGCGUGGGGAGCAAACAGG